AGUACGGCAGAUCACUUGAUGCAUGCUGAGACGGAAAUUCACAUUCCUACAACUUGGGAAAGUAUCAACAUCCUACAUUGAACAAUGGACUAGAAGAUUCUGAUAAUAAUAAUGGUUUUAUGCAAUAUGGACGUAUGUCAGAUCACUCAAGGCAUGCAGAAACAUGAAUUCACAUUUCUACCACUUAAGAAAGUAUCAACAUCCUAUGCUGAAAAUGGACUAAAAGAUACUGCUAAUAAUAUUGGGUUUAUAUAAUGUGCGUGUAAGGGUUAUUGAAUAUAAUUGAUAGUAAAUUAAUGGCAGUGAAACAAUUGAGAUUUGUUAAUAAUCUGAAUAAAAUUUUAGUUAACACCUUUGAC